rnacentral:rRNA from 1 species
GACGAACGCUGGCGGCGUGCUUAACACAUGCAAGUCGAACGGAAAGGCCCUGCUUUUGUGGGGUGCUCGAGUGGCGAACGGGGGAGUAACACGUGUGUAACCUGCCCUUGACUUUGGGAUAACUUCAGGAAAAUGGGGCUAAUAUCGGAUAGGAGCUCCUGCUGCAUGGUGGGGGUGGGAAAGUUUCGGCGGUUGGGGUUGGACUCGCGGCUGAUCAGCUUGUUGGUGGGGUAGGGGCUUACCAAGGCUUUGACGGGUCGCCGGCCUGCGAGGGUGCUGGGCCACAUCGGGGCCGAGUUCCGGCGGAGGCAGUUGCGGGUGGCAGCAGAUGGGAGUAUGGCUGAAGGGGCGGAGGCGUGUGGCAGCAGCGCCGCGUGCGGGAGGACGCCCUUCGGGUUGGAAACGGAGCUCGCCUGUGACGAAGUGUGGGUGACGGUACUGGGUAAAGAAGCACCGGCUAACUACGU